GAACUCGUCCGUGUGAUCCGAAAAAAUGCCAAUUCUCAUAUUUUAUUUCGAUAUGCCUGGGCUGGUUAUGUAUUACCCAAACAGGAUGUGACAUCACGGGGGUCCAAACUAAAAAUAUGUCGCAGGACAGUCUGCCUAGGAUGUCCAGAACCCUGGAGGAUGCUGCCUCGCAGUGGGGGUCCAGACAUGUGAUGUUCGCUGGAGGAUGCAGGAGAUAACCACGCAGAAUGUCUCUUUUCUCUACCUCCUGGUUUGAGUAUGACCCCUCCCCUGGCUUGUGACCCUUCACCUGGAUAUCACUCCUGGCAUUUGGCUCUGGGACAGACUACUCAUGUUGAACCAUAGACAUAUUCUUGAUUCAAGAACACAUCUAAGUCUAAUGGCACAGGGCCCCCGUCUCUCUGGCUGACAGCAGGUUACCAUGAUCUUCAAGAGGCAGCAAUGGGAAUACGUUCCUAGAACAACAAAGAGAGAAGGAGUUUAUCGAGCCCCCAAGCCCCCUCUGUCACAGUGAAGCUCACCUAGAAGCCCUCCCUCAUCAUGGGAUCUGAGACAACACACACUUACUUUCGCUGCUCUUCACUAGUUCGAGGACAGUAGUUGUUUUCUUUGCCGUGUGUGUGUGUGUGUGUGUGUGUGUGUGUGUGUGUGUGUGUGUGUGUGUGUGUGUGUGUGUGUGUGUGUGUGUGUGUGUGUGUGUGUGUGUGUGUGUGUGAGUGUGUGUGUGUGUGUGUGAGUGUGUGUGUGUGUGUGUGAGUGUGAGUGUGAGUGUGUGCGCAUGCAAAUGUGUAUGUCUAUGUGUACAUGCACACUUGAGCGUGUGUGUCUAGUUUGUGUCUGUGUGUUUACUAUCUCUCUCCAGAAUCAAAGGCAGACUGCAGUGCUUCUUCCUACUAUUGGCCUAUAUCUGUUGGCUGGGGUUGGGGACCUAUCAAGGAGAACAUGCUAAUUAAACUCCUGCUAUCUCCACUGACUGACUCUCUUUCUUUCAGUUGUACACCAUCA
ensembl:lncRNA